UAUCGACGGCGGUGUUUGGCACCUCGAUGUCGGCUCAUCACAUCCUGGGGCUGAAGUCGGUCCCAAGGGUAUGGCUGUUCGCCAUUUAAAGUGGUACGCGAGCUGGGUUUAGAACGUCGUGAGACAGUUCGGUCCCUAUCUGCCGUGGGCGUUGGAAGAUUGAAGGGGGCUGCUCCUAGUACGAGAGGACCGGAGUGGACGAACCUCUGGUGUUCGGGUUGUGUCGCCAGACGCAUUGCCCGGUAGCUAAGUUCGGAAUCGAUAACCGCUGAAAGCAUCUAAGCGGGAAGCGAGCCCUGAGAUGAGUCUUCCCUGAUACUUUAAGUAUCCUAAAGGGUUGUUCGAGACUAGAACGUUGAUAGGCAGGGUGUGUAAGCGUUGUGAGGCGUUGAGCUAACCUGUACUAAUUGCCCGUGAGGCUUAACCAU
rnacentral:rRNA from 1 species